UACAGAGGGUGCGAGCGUUGUUCGGAAUUACUGGGCGUAAAGCGCGCGCAGGCGGCUCUCUAAGUCUACGGGUGAAAGACCGGGGCUCAACCCCGAGUCAGCCCGGGAUACUGGGGAGCUAGGGACAUGUAGGGGCGAGCGGAAUUCCGGGUGUAGCGGUGGAAUGCGUAGAGAUCCGGAAGAACACUUAGGGCGAAGGCAAGACUCUGGACAAAUGCUGACGCUCAUGCACGAAGGCUAGGGUAGCGAACGGG
rnacentral:rRNA from 1 species